rnacentral:misc_RNA from 1 species
CGGACUGUUUAUGAGAUCGAUGCUUCAUGCGGAGGCGUCUCGCGUGACGUGUGCUCGGUACCGGCGUAGUGUCCUGGUCUUGUCGACUCAAGAUCUCACCGGAACCUUCUACGUAUAUUGACUGUAUAUCAUCGGCGCUCGUUCGAACGUUCGAACAUUUUCGAGAGAAUCGAGAUCGCUGAUCGAGCGACUGAGAUUCCGUCGACCACGUGGACGCAGACAGAGUGUUUCUUUAGUGGGAUUCGAUACGCAAACGGGAAGUAGGUGUCUACCGAAGUUGUUCUGUGGGCUAGUGGUGAAGUGGUGGGAAGAUCACCGUUCGCCUGGCUGCUCGUCGAAGCUACGUCUGGGUAUCAAGGUGCAGCGUUCCUAAUCUUCCUCUUCGUUCAACAUGCUGCCCUUUGCCACAUGCCAUUCCUAAUAGCAAAUGCGAUUCCUCUCUUCUGGUGCUGCCAUGCCGGCCUCAGCGUGGCCAACGACGUAUUAGCAUAGCAGAUCCUACUAGCCGUGACAGCACUUCCUCUGAUAACGCCUUCAGAAUUUUUUACGAGAUCCGCGGUCCCGAUAGCAACGCCAGAUUGCGGAUAAUGAAUUCGGUCCACCUGACGCGGAACGUAAGCUUGGAUGGAAAUCAUGAAAGAGUGACUGGAUCGAAAAUAACGAGACACUGUCCAAGAUACUGUCUCUGUUCCGCAUCGUGGAAACCAAUCGAACUACAUCAUC